GCCCGAGCAGGGGCAUACACAUGCAAGUCGACGGGACAGUCUGCGAUUACAUCAAGGGCUGUCUAGUGGCAGACGAGUGAGUAACACGUAAGAAAUCUUCCCUUGGGUGGGGAAUAACUCUCCGAAAGGAGGGCUAAUACCCCAUACGAUCAGGCGGCGGCAUCGUCGCUUGAUGAAAGGCUUCGGCCGCCCGAGGACGAUCUUGCGGCCUAUCAGCUAGUUGGCGGGGUAACGGCCCACCAAGGCUAUGACGGGUACCCGGCCUGAAAGGGCGAACGGGCACGGAGGCACUGAGACACGGGCCUCACUCCUACGGGAGGCAGCAGUGGGGAAUUUUGGACAAUGGGGGAAACCCUGAUCCAGCAACGCUGCGUGAGGGAUGAAGGUUUUCGGAUUGUAAACCUCUUUUCCAGGGGACGAAACCCCGCAAGGGACUGACGGUACCCUGGGAAUAAGCCCCGGCUAAAUAUGUGCCAGCAGCCGCGGUAAGACAUAUGGGGCGAGCGUUACUCGGAAUCACUAGGCGUAAAGCGCGUGUAGGCGGGCGCUUAAGUCCGUUGUGAAAUCUCCCGGCUCAACCGGGUGCGGUCAACGGAUACUGGGCGUCUUGAGUUAGGUAGGGGGUGCCGGAAUUCCUGGUGUAGCGGUGAAAUGCGUAGAUAUCAGGAGGAACACCGAUGGCGAAAGCAGGCACCUGGGCCUUUACUGACGCUGAGACGCGAAAGCUAGGGGAGUAAACAGGAUUAGAUACCCUGGUAAUCCUAGCCGUAAACGAUGAUAACUAGGUGUGGGAGGUAUCGACCCCUCCCGCGCCGAAGCUAACGCAUUAAGUUAUCCGCCUGGGGAGUACGGCCGCAAGGUUAAAACUCAAAGGAAUUGACGG
rnacentral:rRNA from 1 species